UACGUAGGAGGCAAGCGUUGUCCGGAAUUACUGGGCGUAAAGCGCGUGUAGGUGGUGGGACAAGUCUGCUGUGAAAGCGCCUGGCUUAACCGGGCGAGGUCGGCGGAAACUGUCCGACUUGAGGACGGUAGAGGGGGGUGGAAUUCCCGGUGUAGUGGUGAAAUGCGUAGAGAUCGGGAGGAACACCUGUGGCGAAGGCGGCCCCCUGGGCCGGCCCUGACACUGAGACGCGAAGGCGUGGGGAGCAAACGGG
rnacentral:rRNA from 1 species